CUAGGGUGAUAUACUAGGACAUAUAAAGUCGCGGUCCAGUAAAUCUUGCAACUGAACUUUCAACACUUUCAACUCUGUCGGUGCCAUUCAGUAGGGGACAAUUGAUACAGGUACUGUACCAAGAAAAACUUUGAUUGUGAAUUCAACCUCUCGAUCAGGAGGCAAUUUCGGCAGUUCCUUAGGAAACACAUCUAGAAACUCACAUACCGUUUGAACAUUGUUUAUCUAACUUUCAUUCGAGUUCAAAUUAUGAAUAUAGGCUAGAAUUACU
rnacentral:lncRNA from 1 species